UGAUUUAAAAAAUUUAUGCUACUUUUAGUUACAUAUUUUAAGAUUUUAGUGACAAUUUUAUUUGCCACAAUACAAUUUCAUCUAUAAUAUAAAAUAAAAUGAAUAAUUAAAUUGUAGCGCAUUGAAAAUAAUCAAAAUUUCAUUGUUUUUCAUCAAUAUUUGUAACUUUUUGAAUCGAAUAUCUAGGUAAAUAUCAAAUAUGUCUAAGUACAUGCUAAACAUAAAGUGAUGAACAAAAGUUAAAACAUGCAUACAAAAAUAAAAUAAAAUAAAAUAAAAAACAAAUACUUGAUAGGUUAAAUAAAUUGUGUUAUCUCAUACUCUAGAAUCAAUGCUAGCAAUUCCCUAUCAAAAAUCAAACAAAGAUAAUCCAGAAUCCAGUGAAAUAAGGCUUAGUUUAGAAAAUAAAUAAUAUAACACUCAACACAAAUAAACUAUAUUUAUAAGAAAAAAGGAAAGACAAAAGCUCAUAAAAAUGAUUACCAUCAUUAUGAAGACUUUCAGAAGAUGCUCUCUGGUUAACUGAAUUAGAGUUGCGUGGAACUGUAGAAAUGUUGCCUGGCAUCUGAAACAAAUUAAUGAAAACAUAUAACAUUAAGGCCCAACUCUCGAUACCUUCUACUAGUCUUGUACAAAUGAACAACAAGAAUGCGUUUAAGAAGAUGCACAUGUACACCAAGAAGCUUAUUCAGAAGGGGAAAAGUGGUCAUUCUUGAGUCCAAUUGGAAAUAUGAUAAUGGACUAAUUUUAAUGAAUGUUUUUUUGUUCAUAGGGUAAUUGAACCCCAUUUAUAAAAGUUUCACUACAUCUUGGUGCACAAUACAUCCAAGAUCUAUCCAUAACUGCUCCAAUAAAAAUAAACAAGUUACAUAGUUACAACAUGUACAAGUUUGAAGCCUAAUCAACUCUUAAUGGAAUCAUAUAAACACAGGAGGAAGCUAAGAAACUAAAAAACUCAUGAAUGUUGGAACACAUAAAGAAACCUAGACUAGAGCUAGUUGCAACAUGUGCAAGUUUAAAGCCUAGUCAACUCUUAGUCAUAAAAAAAUAAGCCUGGUCAACACGUAAACAACCUCGCUUAAGAGGUUAACCAACUACUGUAGUACAAUACAACUCACUUAAGAAACUAUAUCAUCAAUGAAAAUUAAUAUUCAUUUAAGAAAUAUAAACAUAUAUUAGAAAAAUAACAAACUACAUGAGUGGUUUCCAUACAUGAUAUGACAAAAACAAUAACUAUUACAAAAAAUGAAACUAUAUGUCAUUUUAUUUGUAGUAGUGAAACUAUAUGUCAUUUUAAUUGCAACAUAUAAAUACCUUUUUCAUCAUUUUACUAAUUUAGGCUGUUCUAUUUUACAGGUUCAAAGUUCCUAAAAUGUUUAUAACAUGGAACAAGAAAUUCGCAAUGACAAGUGGGAAAUUGAGAAGAGAUGAACACAAGUUUUGCUUCACUUAAACUUACUCUCAAGCAGACUAUAAGAUAGUUUGUUCAUAUUCACAACAUUUGUUUGUUUUAUAUAAAAAAAAUAAUAAAAAAAUAAAAGUUGAUAUGAAAUCAUUUUUGUGCAUUAGCUACUUAAGGGCUGAUUAAGUGAUGGUCUAACUGAAUAAGACAGAUUGUUCAUAUCUGUUUAUUUUGUUUCUUUAUCCUUAUAUUCAGUUGACUUAUCCUUCUAUCAUCAGGAUUUUUCCUCCAGUCAUUCAAUUUGCCUUUUGUGGAAGAUUAUUUUACUUUAGUUUAGGUUUCUUCUUAGUAAUUAGGAAGCUGAUAUAUUAUUUGAAUUGACUGAAUUAAGUUUUCUGUCUAGGUUGUCUAUACUGUGUCAAUAUUUUAUUAGUCUCAUCAGCAUGGUGAUUCGGAAAAAAGUAAAUACAUUAUUAUUUUUUUGGAAUGGCUGAAAAUUUUAUAAGCAUACCAGCGAGGCUUUAUUAAAUUGUUUACCGAUUGAAUUACACAAAUUAGAUAAUGACAUUCUUGUUGGCCACAAAUUAGUCUCAUCUGGAUUUGACCUUCAUGUUCUUCUCAACAGAGUCAAGAUUUUUACAAUAUUAACAAACACAUUGAUUUAAUGAACUUAAUGAGAACAUUUGUAUUUGUAUUACCAUUUAUAAAUAAUAAUGAUCGUAUAACAUUUUGCAGGCUUGCAAAGUUCCUAACAACAUGUGGUCAAAAAUAGUAAGACUUAAGAGGUUUGAGAUACCUAGACUUAAUAAAGGAAAUACAGUUUUUGGGUCAGGGGUAAGUCCAGGAAUUAUGUCUUGCAUUGUUGGCAGGCUUUUAUGUGAUACUUUUUUGUGUACUUGUGAUCUUUUAAAAGAGGUAAUAUUAAUCUUAAUAUUAAUAUAGUAUAAUUAUAAAUUAGUCUUUAUAUUUAAUUUCUAACAUUUUUUUUGGGUUUCAGGUUAGUUAUUCAUUGACAGAACUUGCAAAGACUCAGUUGAGUAAGAAUCAAAAAGAGAUUGCUCCACAUGAUAUUCCUGGAAUGUUUCAAAGUUCUCAAUCCUUAAUGGAACUCGUAUGUUCUACUUUUCAUUUCUCAACUUUGUAAAUUUUUAUUUGUUUUUUUUUUUAUUUUCAUGAUAUUGUUAAAACUGCGAUUUGCAGAUUGAAAUUGGGGAGACAGAUGCAUGGUUGCCAAUGGAACUCAUGUUCCAUUUGAGUGUUCUUCCUCUCACACGACAACCGAUUAAUAUUAAUGAUAAUCUAUGGGGAAAAACUCUUCAGGUAAACUAACGAAACAGUUAAAAAAUCAUUCACUAAUGUGUUUUUUUAGUUUUUUUUUAAUGAAUAACUUAUUAUGUGCAUGAUUUCAGGGUGCUAGAGCUCAAAGAGUGGAAUAUCUCUUGUCGCAUGCAUUCCAUGCUAAAAAAUUUAUGGUACCUGAUAAGUUUUAUACUCCAAUAGAAAACAAAACAGUAAAACAUAAAUCAGAUGGCCCAGAAGACAAAGUAAACAAUGAUUUGGGUGAAAAUGACGAAAUCGCCCCUCCAGGAAAUGAGCCUGUAAAAUCCAAAAAAGCAGCUUCAUAUGCAGGUGGACUAGUGUUGGAACCCAAAAAGGUUUAUAUGAUAAAUAUAUUUUACUUUUGGAUUUUAACAGUCUCUACCCUUCCAUUAUCCAGGUUUGUCAUGUCUCCACCAUACUUUUUAAAUUUCAACACUUUCUACCAUUCUCUAUUAUCUUUUUCUAUCUUUAAUCAGGAGUACCAUAUCUGCUUUACAACAGUAGAGAGAUUUGAAGAUGGUUUAGUUCCUCGAUUACCAUAUUCAAAAACAACUGGAACUUGAGGAAGAGAGGGAGAGGCUGAUGAAAGCUCUUGAAGAGCAGAGGACUAAAAUGAAAGGUAGCCACUGGAAAGAGGAGAUUAAGCUGGAGAAAGGGUUUGAUGAUGUGCUGACUCAAUUGAUGGACAAAUACACCAAUAAACUUGAAUUAUUUGAGCACAAACUUUACUCAUUCUUGCAGUUAGUUGAAGUUUAACUUUGACCGAUUCUAAAGAAGUCAAUUGACGUUGGGAUAUUAGCAGAGGUUAUGAGAUAUGUUUUUCUGGAGUACAUGGAUUAUAGUUUAUAUAUUUUAUGACGUGAGAAAGUCAAAAUGAAAUCACCAGUUCUAAUAAUCGAAAAAUAUUGGAGUUUUAAAGGUACUAGUGGCAGCCUCUCAUAAAAUUGAUUAACCCUAGCAGUUUGGGCAAUGAUUUUGCAACAAAUCGGGCAGUAUACAACUUCAAAUCUACAAACAAAUGAAAUUUUUAAAUACGUUAUUUGAGCAGGAAAAAUACAUAACCGUAAGAUUGAGGAUGCAGCGGCGACGAUCGAGGAAGCGGCGGCGAUCGUAAAAGCAACGGUGAUCAAAAAGAAACGACGCACAAGCCGACGACGGCAUGAUGGUCCGACGUCGACGAAGAGAGGGUGGUGAUGGUGCGUUCAGAUCAUCGUCAGGAGUGAGAUAGUGGGAGUGGUUUCUGAUAGGGUUGUACGUAUUUUUUUGACUUCCGU
rnacentral:lncRNA from 1 species